GGCGCACGGGUGAGUAACACGUAUCCAACCUGCCCUUUACUCGGGGAUAGCCUUUCGAAAGAAAGAUUAAUACCCGAUAGCAUAAUGAUUCCGCAUGGUUUCAUUAUUAAAGGAUUCCGGUAAAGGAUGGGGAUGCGUUCCAUUAGGUUGUUGGUGGGGUAACGGCCCACCAAGCCUUCGAUGGAUAGGGGUUCUGAGAGGAAGGUCCCCCACAUUGGAACUGAGACACGGUCCAAACUCCUACGGGAGGCAGCAGUGAGGAAUAUUGGUCAAUGGGCGCUAGCCUGAACCAGCCAAGUAGCGUGAAGGAUGAAGGCUCUAUGGGUCGUAAACUUCUUUUAUAUAAGAAUAAAGUGCAGUAUGUAUACUGUUUUGUAUGUAUUAUAUGAAUAAGGAUCGGCUAACUCCGUGCCAGCAGCCGCGGUAAUACGGAGGAUCCGAGCGUUAUCCGGAUUUAUUGGGUUUAAAGGGAGCGUAGGUGGACUGGUAAGUCAGUUGUGAAAGUUUGCGGCUCAACCGUAAAAUUGCAGUUGAUACUGUCAGUCUUGAGUACAGUAGAGGUGGGCGGAAUUCGUGGUGUAGCGGUGAAAUGCUUAGACAUCACGAAGAACUCCGAUUGCGAAGGCAGCUCACUGGACUGCAACUGACACUGAUGCUCGAAAGUGUGGGUAUCAAACAGGAUUAGAUACCCUGGUAGUCCACACAGUAAACGAUGAAUACUCGCUGUUUGCGAUAUACAGU
rnacentral:rRNA from 1 species